UACGGGGGGGGCAAGCGUUGUUCGGAAUUACUGGGCGUAAAGGGCUCGUAGGUGGCCAACUAAGUCAGACGUGAAAUCCCUCGGCUUAACCGGGGAACUGCGUCUGAUACUGGAUGGCUUGAGUUUGGGAGAGGGAUGUGGAAUUCCCGGUGUAGUGGUGAAAUGCGUAGAUAUCGGGAGGAACACCAGUGGCGAAGGCGACUUCCUGGCCUGUUCUUGACGCUGAGGCGCGAAAGCUGGGGAAGCAAACGGG
rnacentral:rRNA from 1 species